CACCGUCCGUCACACCAUGGGAGUUGGUUUCACCCGAAGGCAGUGCGCUAACCGCAAGGAGGCAGCUGACCACGGUGGGAUCAGCGACUGGGGUG
rnacentral:rRNA from 1 species